rnacentral:misc_RNA from 1 species
GAAAUGCGAUAAGUAAUGUGAAUUGCAGAAUUCAGUGAAUCAUCGAAUCUUUGAACGCACAUUGCGCCCGCCAGUAUUCUGGCGGGCAUGCCUGUUCGAGCGUCAUUUCAACCAUCAAGCCCCCGGGCUUGUGUUGGGGACCUGCGGCUGCCGCAGGCCCCGAAAACCAGUGGCGGGCUCGCUGUCACACCGGGCGUAGUAGAUUUUUCGUCUCGCCCAGGGCGUGCUGCGGGUUCCGGCCGUUAAAAAGCCUCUCUUUUAACCAAAGGUUGACCUCGGAUCAGGUAGGAAGACCCGCUGAACUUAAGC